rnacentral:pre_miRNA from 12 species
GAAAACAUCCAUGUCUUCUAUCCUUCAUUCCACCGGAGUCUGUAUAGAGUGCCACUCAGAUUUCAGUGGAUUGAAGAGUAAGAAACAUGGAAUAUG